rnacentral:rRNA from 1 species
GCGGGAUUCGAUUCGGCAAUGGACCAAACUCCUACGGGAGGCAGCAGUAGGGAAUUUUCGGCAAUGGAGGAAACUCUGGCCGAGCAACGCCGCGUGAACGAUGAAGUACCUCGGUAUGUAAAGUUCUUUUAUUAAGGAAGAAAAAAGAGUGGAAAAACUCCCUUGACGGUACUUAAUGAAUAAGCCCCGGCUAAUUAUGUGCCAGCAGCCGCGGUAAUACAUAAAGGGCGAGCGUUAUCCGGAAUUAUUGGGCGUAAAGGGUGCGUAGGCGGUUUAAUAAGUCUAUAGUUUAAUUUCAGCGCUUAACGCUGUUGUGCUAUAGAAACUGUUUUACUAGAGUGAGUUAGAGGCAAGCGGAAUUCCAUGUGUAGCGGUAAAAUGCGUAAAUAUAUGGAGGAACUCCAGAGGCGUAGGCGGCUUGCUGGGACUUUACUGACGCUGAGGCACGAAAGCGUGGGGAGCAAACAGGAUUAGAUACCCUGGUAGUCCACGCCGUAAACGAUGAGUACUAAGUGUCGGGUAAAACCGGUACUGAAGUUAACACAUUAAGUACUCCGCCUGAGUAGUACGUACGCAAGUAUGAAACUUAAAGGAAUUGACGGGAUUCCGCACAAGCGGUGGAUCAUGUUGUUUAAUUCGAAGAUACACGAAAAACCUUACCAGGUCUUGACAUUUUCUUGCGAAGUUAUAGAAAUAUAAUGGAGGUUAUCAGGAAAACAGGUGGUGCAUGGUUGUCGUCAGCUCGUGUCGUGAGAUGUUAGGUUAAGUCCUAAAACGAGCGCAACCCUUGUCGAUAAUUGCCAGCAUGUAAUGAUGGGGACUUUAACGAGUCUACCAAUGAAAAAUUGGAGGAAGGUGGGGAUUACGUCAAAUCAUCAUGCCCUUUAUGAUCUGGGCUACAAACGUGAUACAAUGGUUGUUACAAAGACGUAUGCUGAAAA